UACGAAAAUUAAUCUACGAAAAUUAACCAGUCCCUCGCACGCACGAGCGAUUGCUCUUGCCCUCGAAGCACUCGCACGCGAGUCGUUCACCGCCGCCCCGUCUCCGAUCUCCCUGCCACCUCCCCGUCUCCGAUCUCCUUGCCGCCGCCCCGUCUUUGAUCUCCCUGCCGCCGCCCCGUCUCCGAUCUCCCUGCCGCCGACCCUUGCUGCCGGCCCGUCUCUGAUCUCCCUUCGCCGCCGCCCUCGCACAUCAGGCCACCGCCGAUCCAUGCGCUACCUCGACGGGAGCCGUCGAUCUUCUUCAGGAGACGCCGCCGAUCCCAUUGAUGAGCCACCGCCGACCAUGUCCAGGAUCCGACACCGCUGGCCAGGCUCCAGACUGAUGGACACGCCUGCUCGCCGCUCCUCGGGGCCAGGCCCUCCCGCCGCGCCGGAUCACGCAUCGGCUUGGGGACCCCUCGGGGAUGCCGCCGGUGCAGGAGGCGUCCGCGACAAUACGGGCUGGGGACCAAGCGGCUGGGCAUGCCGCGUCCAGGGUUUGGUCGGGCUGGCGUGAGCCGCCGUCGAUAAAAUCUUGGCUGAUUGGCUGCACGUCUCUUCGGAUUUGGUACUAUCCCCAUCUCUCUCUGAGACACACACACCACUCUCUCUCUCUCUCUCUUUGUGUCUGCUUGUGCUUGCUGACGAAGGUGCAUGUGUGUGUGUGCGCGCACGCGUGUGAUGUGCCGCUGACCGCUUUUAUGUGUGCUUGUGGCGAUGCUGCCUGUGAGUGUGAUUUUUGCCGCUAUCCUGCAUGAUUCUUGGUGAAUCGAGGAUGAGAGGAAGCCACCCAGAAAAUGGCCAGAAGGAAGCACCAUAUGUGCAGGUGUGCUCAUGUGUGUUAGAAGUUAUAAGAUGAUGCAUACUCUGACAGUGCUUUGGCCACAUAAAAGGUAAAUCCAUCAUUGUGGAGAUGUCAAAGUCAUCACAAAAACAAGCAUCUGAACUUUCUUUUUGGGAUGAAACAAAUACGCAGACUAACAGUAUCAUGUUCUUUUUGACAUCAACCAAUAACAUGGGUUGGUUCAGGACUUCAGGUAUAUAUCACCAGCAUAAAAAUCUAUUAAGAUAGCAAUUGUUACUUUUUUUAGCUACUCUCAAAUGCUUCUCUAUUUUAAAUACCUAUUAAAUGUUGUCACAAUCACCCUAUUUCCACCGCACUGAGGGCUGUGGCAGGAAGGAGCCAACCGUUGGCAUUGCCCAUGGCCAAGCAGACCGAGGACCCAGCGCCCUCAAGUACGGUGAUGUUCUUUCUGUUGCGACUUAUGGUGAUGACUGAGGAGUUUUGAGAUCAAUCUCGAUCUGCAUAUGACCGUGACCGGGAGGCAAACCCGGUUGCGCUUAGAGACAAUUGAUUAAUGGAGAUCCUCCAGCCACCGAGCUCCUAAAGGAUACCUAGGCGAGAAAUCCACGCUUGUCCAUACCGCUUGCCUUUUAGGCGAGCAUCCUCGUGAACUUCGACCCCAUCAUGCUGUAAAUAUAAAUAGUUUACAAAAUAACUAAAUUUUUAGAUUGGAUAUUAUUCGAAAUCUAUGCAUAUUUUUUCUUACUGCGGUAUAUAUCUAACACUAGAAAAUGAGUUGUUGAAAUAAUCUUUACUAAUAAUCAUUGGUCUAUAGGACAAGGACUCGGCGGAUGAUUCCUCCUUGACUUUCUACCAGCUGCGCCCCUGACUGUGUCCACAGCAUCCCGACACCAUGUUCAAGACCAAGUUCUAACCCACAUAUCCAAUCUCUCUCCAUGGAUCUUGCCUCAUUGACCAAGAGCAACAAUUCAACUCAAUUUCAGAUUUACAAAAGAGAUGGACCUAGAGCAAACAACCUAUGAGGCUUGGUUCGUGUACAUCGACAACGUUGUAUGGUGGUGAAGCUUCUUCACAUCCCCUGACCAGACGCUGCAUGCUCUGCUCGCUGAAGGUGCCCGCUGUUUGUGUUUGGAUGUUGUUGCUAGCGUAUGUCAAGGUAUGUAGCAGUAGCUUUUGUUAUCCUUUCCACACCAGCGAAUGUCAGAAUUUAUCAUGUGGGCAAUUUUUUUUGACUGUAGUAUGAGUACAAGGUUCAGGGAAGUUCAGUCAUUUAGUAUCUCACUGAUUGUCUAGGCUUUAAAUUUAGGAGAUGAUUUGGAAGCUCAACAUAGAAAAUUAUUUAGUCUAAUGCAGAUUGCAUAUUAAACGCCUUUUCAAAGCAAGUAUGGAAGAAAAUGUGGUGAGCUCUCCAUGAGAAAAUUUAAUAUAACAGUUUCUUUGACUUGAAGGAAUAUUUGCAGAUUUUAGUCUAUAGAAAGUUUGAGGGUAUCAUCUUUGCGAAAUUGAUGCUCUUAACGUCUAUUAGUAAUGGACACUCCUAUCAUUCUAUAUAUCAUUUUAUGCACUUAACUGAGAAGGCUUUCUAAUAGUUGAGGAGGCACUCAUUAUUCCGAGCUUGGCUCUUCCUGAUUAGCUUAUCACCACGCUCACAACUGCGGAAUCAUAGGCGCGAAAUGCUUUAGUGUGUCCGCCAAAGCCCGUGUCAUCGAGCAGAAACUAGCCUCGCUCAACCAAAUUGCACCUGUCAUCGAUGCACGGCGAGGGCACUCGGAAUCUGGUGUUUGCUCCGUUGCGAAGCAUGCGAUGUUGAGAGAAAAGAGGGAGACUGCACUGGAGGAAAGCGAAGCAUGGUAGCAGGUCUGAAGAUGAGAGCAUGAUGUUCUCUUUAGCAAAUGAUCCAUGUGUCUAUUUUUUCGUCCCGUUGCAACACACGGGGACCUUUGAUUUGAUUUAGUUUUAUCUUCUACUGUAGAUAGGGAACUAUGGACACUAAAUAUCCAUUUCUUAGGUGUCAACCUGGUACAUUAGGCUGUAUAGUACAUGGCAGAGUUCUUCCAGCUACUAAUUCAGGUAAUCUGAUUCAUGUCACUUUGCUUUAAGCAUAGUUAACUAACAGGAAGGACAUCACAUAUGCACUUUCCCUACAACCUAUGUCGAGGGUACCUACUGUCACGAGGAUCCUCAAGUUAACACACUUGAUUCUUACUGCUGCUUAUGCAUCCCUGAACUUCAGUUAAAUUUAUGAUUAUCUGGAUAUUUCCUAUAAUUUAUCAAGUGUAGGGUUCUUAAAAUAAGGACAGACAUUUGUUUCACCUUUUGUAGUUCAUCAUAAUAGCAUAUGAUUUUAAAAAAUGGAAAAUUGCCAAGUACAGUUCUGAAGCGGAGAGUUAUUUAUGUAUUUUUUUUAUUCAUGAAUGACAUGAUCAAGGAGUCAGGUGUGAAAAUGCUUUAUAAAUCAGGUGAGGCAACAUGCUAAAAAUUUGUGGCGAUUAGUGAAGGAAAAAACUAUGUACUCUUGUUUCAAGUGGACUUCAUCGCUUUAUUGUUAGAUUCAGCUUCACCUCCCAUUGUUAUAUUAAUUUUUUUGGUCUCAUGGAGCUUCAAUUGAUAGGUACGUAUAGGGAAUUCAAAAGGCAAGGCAACUGAACAUACAACAGCCCGGUAGGGCUUAAUGCUCGUGCUCGUGAAUGUUCAGUGUCUAUCCCAGCAUACGAGCACCAGACAACAGUAGCUAUCUUGACUUACAAAAAAAGGUUGCAGGUAAACGCCCGGAGGCGAGCUGAUUAUCGGAAGAAAAUAGAGGGUACGGUCAAGCUCCAAGAUGAAAAUCAUCAUUCCCUUACGAUGUCUGGUAAGGUGGUUUAAUGUUUAAGUGCUAGGAUGAACAAUGAAUACAUAUAAAGUAAUUGUUACAUAAAUUAAAUUGAUUUCACAGACUUCAUUAUUGUUUAACAAUUAUGUAGAGAAUAUGUUUGAACAUUAUUGUUGAACCAGCCAACCCAACUACAUCCCGCUAGACAUCCUUCUCACAUGAUGAUUCAUACUUUUCCUGCUUCAACUACUCUCCAGGUAGGGUUUAAUGCGUAUAAUUAGUACUACCUCUGUAAACUAAUAUAAGAGGUUUUCUAAGACAUUUUAGAUCACUAAACGUCUUAAAGUUGUUUACAGAGGGAGUAUAUUUUAAUUUGUGCCAUACCAUCAGCACUACCUCGUGUACUUAGGCAAUUAUAUAACCAUUGAAGCGAAGGAGCAGAAGUUGUUUCACAUGCCAAUGUUCACUUGAUUGUAAAGUGUCCACAUAUUUUAACUGCUCAGUUGAUGUCGUAUGCACAAAAUUCUAAUCAUUUUCUUGUGGCCAGAUCAAAUCUAAAUCUACAUGCAGAAGACAUCUUGACCACAUAAUGUAUAAUCACUAAAUUAAGUGGUUCAGCUUGAAGAUAUAUGUUCAUAUGGUGUGUGUAGGACCCAACUCCAGCAACUUUGUAGCUCAGAGACAUAAUCAAAUUAAGGUGAGGAGAUGGCGAAAAAAAUGAAAGAAAGGACAGUCUGCUGACCCUAUAGCCUUGUGGCGGUGGAAUCAGGCAAUUAAAGCGUCUCUCAUAAGGGAUUAGCUCAGAAUGCCCAUCGUCGCAUACCUUCACAAGGAAGGAAAAGAAAAACAUUUAGAAAGAUAAUCAUACAUAUUGACUGUUAACAAUCAACUGAUUGCUGGUUCUGAACUCACAGGUAAGCCCUUGAUCUUAACAUCGUUUGUAUUUAUGUCUCUCAAAUUAUGUUUCAAAAUUAGGUUGCUCAAGUUAAGUUACCAAAAAUAUCACCCACUAUAUACAUAAACUGAUGGACCUCUGAUUUUCCUAAAGAAGAGAAGAAGGCAUGUGAUUAAAGCAUAUCAUUCAGAAACAAAUAUAGAUGUCUCCCUUUACAGAGAAGACCUUGGCAAAACAAACAAAAUGAUAAACAGGUCCCUGUGGCAGUUUCCUCUUUCCCAUCAUGUUGCUACCCCUCCCGGGUCGCACGUGCGGGCGACCCCGGGGGGAUGAAACCCUAGCUAGCAAACCUUACCCCAGAUCCACCCGGCCGCUGCCGUUGACAUCGCUAGCCUUGGCUGUGGUGGCGGCCUCCUGGCCGCCAAAGGCGGCGGGGAGGAGAGCGCGCCCGAUGGCGAUGGCUUCGCGCAGAGGAUGCUUCAUCGGGUGGCGUGCGGAGACAGUGCUGAGUGGCGGCGGGCGGCGAGAGGAGGGUCGUGGUGGAGCAGCGUGCUGGCUGGCGGAGGAUCUGGAGCUCGGAGGGGGGAGCAGCGGCGGCGGUGUGAACAACGUGGACGGUGGUCCCAUUCCGAUGGGCGAGGAGGAUGGUGUGCGACACAGACGAAAGUCUUUGCCCGUCUUCGGUCGGAGCCGGUGAUGACGGCGUCCGUGGGUGUUGUUCCCCUCCUUGGAGGCGUCGCUGAGGUGUGUCGACACCGUACUCGCUUCAUUCCGGUUUGGUCGGGUCGAUGUCUCCAGGUGAAAGCCUAGGUUUGGAGUUGGACCGGCGUGAUAGCGGCGUCCUUGACGUCGUCCCUCUGUUGAGAGUAUCGUGUUUGGAGACACGGCUUGGUGGUCCUAAGUUGCUUUCCUCCGACGCUCGCUACUAUCCAAGAUUGUUCUGCAGGGGCGCUAUGCACACCAUGGCUAGCGUGUCCAAGACGAUGCCUUUCUCGGGACGGACCAAAUUCCGCCAUCCACCUCCUUUAGGAUGGUGCGUCAACGAGGAAAGUCAAGAUGAAGAUGUUCUUCUUGGAGGCGGCAGCAUUGGUUGAGACGCGGCCUUGCUGCUCAGUUUAGGAUAGGCUUUUGUUGUUGUUGUUGUUGUUGUUGUGUGUGUGUGGUGCUGUCUUCGGACUAGCCGGUGUUGAGUGUUGUGACAGAGUUGUGCGCAACGGAUUGUCAUUUUCUUGUACUCAAACCCCUGCCUUCUAUAAAGCUAAGGUGCGCAUUUUGCGUACUCUCAAAAAAAAACCUGUCGCUUAUGUUUUCAUAUUGGCUAAAGUAGGAAGCAGCUCAUGAAAUAAUUAUU